rnacentral:rRNA from 1 species
GCAUAUCAAUAAGCGGAGGAAAAGAAACCAACCGGGAUUGCCCUAGUAACGGCGAGUGAAGCGGCAACAGCUCAAAUUUGAAAUCUGGCUCUUUUAGAGUCCGAGUUGUAAUUUGCAGAGGGCGCUUUGGCUUUGGCAGCGGUCCAAGUUCCUUGGAACAGGACGUCACAGAGGGUGAGAAUCCCGUACGUGGUCGCUGGCUAUUGCCGUGUAAAGCCCCUUCGACGAGUCGAGUUGUUUGGGAAUGCAGCUCUAAAUGGGAGGUACAUUUCUUCUAAAGCUAAAUAUUGGCCAGAGACCGAUAGCGAACAAGUACCGUGAGGGAAAGAUGAAAAGCACUUUGGAAAGAGAGUUAACAGUACGUGUAAUUGUUGGAAGGGAAACGCUUGAAGUCAGACUUGCUUGCCGGAGCUUGCUUCGGUUUGCAGGCCAGCAUCAGUUUUCCGGGGUGGAUAAUAACGGUUUGAAGGUAGCAGUCUCGGCUGUGUUAUAGCUUUCCGUUGGAUACAUCCUGGGGGACUGAGGAACGCAGCGUGCUUUUUGCGAAAGACUCGUCUUUUUCACGCUUAGGAUGCUGGUGGAAUGGCUUUAAACGACCCGUCUUGAAACACGGACC